AGAGACACUUCUUUUUCUUUAGGGUCAAAAUCUCGGGUUCUUUUCUUUAUGGUACAGAAGGAGGUGAGAUUAGGUUCCCUUUUCUUCAUUUUUUCAUUUCUUAUUCUGCUAUUCCGAAUAUUUUUAUAUUCUUGCUUAUCUUACUUUCCUAGUUGUUCUAAGUAAUGCGCGCGGUACAAAGUUGUUCUAAGUAAUGCGCGCGGUACAAAGUUCGUGGUAGGGAACUUCUUUGAGUCAUCGUAUUUUUCUGUUUAUACGAAGGAAAUGAAUAUGUGAUUUUCCAAAUUGGAGAAUCGAAAUGAAGCCCUUUUUUGCUCAGUCUAUCUG
rnacentral:lncRNA from 1 species